GAGUUUGAUCUUGGCUCAGGACUAACGCUGGCGGCAUGCCUCAUACAUGCAAGUCGUACGGGGUGUUGGAACGCAAGAACUGACAUCAAGUGGCGCACGGGUGAGUAACACGUAGGUAACCUGCCUCGAGGAGGGGGAUAACAGGCCGAAAGGCUUGCUAAUACCCCGUAGUACCCAGAUUCCGCAUGGAGACUGGUUUAUAGUCUGUCGCAAGAUGGACGCCUUGGGAGGGCCUGCGGCGUAUCAGCUAGUUGGUAGGGUAACGGCCUACCAAGGCUUUGACGCGUAGCCGGCUUGAGAGAGUGACCGGCCACACUGGAACUGAGACACGGUCCAGACUCCUACGGGAGGCAGCAGUAGGGAAUCUUCCGCAAUGGGCGAAAGCCUGACGGAGCAAUGCCGCGUGA
rnacentral:rRNA from 1 species